GUACUACUUCCUCCGUCCAACAAAAGAGAUCUCAAGUUUGACUAAAUUUAAAUGCAUCUAUACACUAAUUCAUGUCUAGAUGCAUUCAAAUUUUGACAAACUUUAGACAUCUUUUGUUGGACGGAGGGAGUAUUUG
rfam:Brachypodium distachyon strain Bd21 chromosome 2, whole genome shotgun sequence.